rnacentral:lncRNA from 10 species
UGAAAUCACUCCUAUUGACCCCCUGGCAUAUUUAUAGCCUCUCUCUUUCUGCUGAGACUGGUAGUUUUCACCUUCCCUUCCCUGUGUUGUGUUUAUUCAGCAGCACGCUAAAUCACACCCGGGCACAAGUGGAGCAUUCAUCAGGAACCACGAGCCCCUCUUUCAGUCUGCCAAACCUAUCCAAUUACUGGGGCUGGAAGAGCCUGCACAAACCCUUCUGCCAGGCAGGCCUUGCAAAAUUCUAAAGAACAAAGUCCAACCAUCCAAGCAAUAUUUUAAAGAAUGAGAUCUGUGUUAACACUUAAAGACAUUUUCCACGUUGACCUCAUGAACCCCAAAAGAAGGAUGAAAGAAGUCUGGAAUUAAUGAAUUUAGGGAACCUGUAAAACUCCAAAAAUGUUUAAUGCAAAAAUGUGAUAUUUUUGGUAGGAAAUUUCCAUUGCUUUCAACAGAUUUGGGAAGGGACCCAAAAGAUGACUAAAAGCAUCUGCAUUUUAACCAAACUUCCAGAUGAACCUUCUUGCUGUGAUUCAUAAACAUGGCUGUACCUCUAAAUAGACUGGGACUUCCUUUUGGUACUAUGAUCAUCCCUAAUUAUUUCGUCCACUUCAACUCUCCCCAGCUCUGAACGUUCCUUAAUUCCUGGAUGUGACUUCCAAUUAAUUUUGACCCAGGCAGUAUAUUCUACAAUGCUUGACUUCAGGGCUACACUUUCCAGAAAGACCUCAAAUCAGACUUUCAGCUAACUCCCUUGUGGAGAAGGUGAGACAAUGAGAAACAUCUCCAUGCCAGGAGUGCGCAAGAGCUGUCUGCAAAAAGAUGUCUGUUGCAUGACACCAAGCAGCAAGUGUAAUUGAAGGGAAAUGCUCUAUCCAGAUACCAAGAGGACUAGUCACGAGACCAGGCCUCAAAACAGGAAAAUGGUUCCAAUGGAGAAGUAGAGUAUGAGUCAAGAAUUGAGAGAUGAGCAAUAUACAUUAGCAUUAUAAAACACUAAAGAAAGUAUACAUGCCUAGAGCCUCUGAGGCACACUACAAAGAAGAUGACCUGAAAAGUGACUGCUUACAGGGUCCACAUAUAGGUGACAUGAAAGUUCCCUCAGCCUUGUCAGUAUGAAUGAGCCUGUAAAGUGAAGAUGAAUGAGAAAGGGAUUAGAUGAGUCAUCUGAGUCUGUAAGGCCCUUGCAACAAGAGCAUGAAGAUGAUAAAAGAGGACAGAAAGGGAACAAGUUGGGUGAAAAGAAAACAAUGAAUUAGGGUGAAAAGAUCAAGCCAGUGACCAAACUCUCUACAACUAGAAAAGACUUAUCAGUUUCUCAAAGUACUUAUUCAUAGGUAAUUAGUCUUUUGGUAAGCAAAUUACUACUUGUUUAACGUUCCAGUUAAGAAGCCAAAUAAGAUAUCAUUUACAUCAAAAAUGAAAAAAUAAGGGGGCAUCUACUUUCUAUAAUAACGACCUGGGAAACUCAGACCAUCCUUCCUUCUGAGGACGCUGAAAAAAACUGAAUCCAAGAACUAACAACAUAUUAAGGAACUGCCAGGUGGUGACCCAGCAUGCUAAGAACACAGCAAGGAAUUCGAAGUUGUUUUAACAUUAGAAAAUCAACUGAUGUGAUUCAGCACAUUUACUGAAUAUUAUGAUGACCUGGGCAGAGUCUGACAUCAUUACUUCUAUUCAACGUUGUACUGAAGGCCCCAGACACUACAGUAAGACAAAAACAGAAUGGAAGAUAAAAGGAUUGGAAAGAAAGAAACCAAACUGUCAUAACUCACAGAUCAGGUAGUGGCUAUAUGCAUACUGGCUUUGUAAUCGUUGCUUAAGCCGUAUUUGUGCUGUGCAUUUUUUAUUAACUCCUAUGCAUCGCCAGGACCCUGAAGGUGUCAUACUCUUCCUGACAGGACCUACCAGCUUGACGGAGAGCUCUAUCCCCAUUUCCUAAAGAAGAAACCUGAUCCUUGGAAAUGUUCAGUGGCUGCCCCAAGAUGUCGGCACAACCUCUUGUGCUCUUGCCUCCUGCCACAAGAACAUAUGUCCCAGAAAAGGGCCACUCCAUCAGCCUAGGUCCAGAAAUGAGAGGACACAUGGACUGAACUUGAAGAUGGCCCACAGCAGACCUGCAGUCAACUCUCAGCCUUUAUGUAAUGCGGGAAAGAAGGAAAUGUGAAUAUUAUAGACUACUAAAAUUCUAAAGUUGUAACAUAGCAAAAUGAUCGAUACAAUUAGCAGUGGCAAUCAGUCUAGCAUAUUGUCAUGCUAUAUGCAUGCUAUAAAACUAUUGAACAAAAAUAUCACUAUCCUAUCAUGGACACAUUGGACUUUUCUUUUCUCCUUAUGACUGCAUCACGUGUGAUGAUCAGAAAUGGAGUGAAGACAGAAAAAUAAGAAAAUUCAAGAAUGUGCUACAGAGUGAUCCUCUCCCUCUUAGAGCACCCACAGAAACCACUCAUGGCUUCUCUGUCUGCAUCCUCUCCACACAAACAUAUUCUUUAAGGUACCAGCCCCAUAUCACAUACCUGUAUGUCAGCCCAUAAUAGGCCUUACCUUAGAAGCCAAAGAUCCAUAACUACACAGUAUUCAUGUUGUAUAAUGUGGAGCAGCACCAAAAAAUAAAGUGGCAGACAAUAAUGCCUAUGACUAAAGUGACCCCUUGAUCCCCUCCCAAAGCAGUCUCCAUAUCAUAACUGUCAAUUGUAAAAAUAGUAUGUAUUUUAUAUAUUCUCCCUAAUAGGUAACUCUGUAUUUUAAAAUCUUAGGCUCCAAGUUUUAAUCUACUUCGUCCCAUCGGAGUACUUUUUUUCAAUUUUCUCAUUUACAAGGCCAUUUUUAUUUUUGCCUCACUCUGUGCUGAUGGCCCCAGAUCUACUCAGUCAGUUUCUUCUCUUCUAUGAUGUCUAUAUUCAGACACCUAGGAGAUUGACAACUCCUAGAAAUACCACUCACUCAACUGCUCCUUUCCCCUUCUUUCGUACUUGGGCAUAAACUUUACUGUAUCUUAAACACAUCUUCCUAAAUGCCUCACGACUAUGAUAAACUUGACAUGCUUACAACU